GGCUCAGAAGUCGGAACAAGGUAACCGGAAAGUUUGAUCCUUGGCUUUUGAGUGAGUGGAGGACUGCGGAGAAACACGUGGGAAACCUGCCCAGAAGCGGGGGAUAACACCUGGAAACAGAUGCUAAUACCGCAUAACAACUUGGACCGCAUGGUCCGAGUUUGAAAGAUGGCUUCGGCUAUCACUUUUGGAUGGUCCCGCGGCGUAUUAGCUAGAUGGUGGGGUAACGGCUCACCAUGGCAAUGAUACGUAGCCGACCUGAGAGGGUAAUCGGCCACAUUGGGACUGAGACACGGCCCAAACUCCUACGGGAGGCAGCAGUAGGGAAUCUUCCACAAUGGACGAAAGUCUGAUGGAGCAACGCCGCGUGAGUGAAGAAGGGUUUCGGCUCGUAAAACUCUGUUGUUAAAGAAGAACAUAUCUGAGAGUAACUGUUCAGGUAUUGACGGUAUUUAACCAGAAAGCCACGGCUAACUACGUGCCAGCAGCCGCGGUAAUACGUAGGUGGCAAGCGUUGUCCGGAUUUAUUGGGCGUAAAGCGAGCGCAGGCGGUUUUUUAAGUCUGAUGUGAAAGCCUUCGGCUCAACCGAAGAAGUGCAUCGGAAACUGGGAAACUUGAGUGCAGAAGAGGACAGUGGAACUCCAUGUGUAGCGGUGAAAUGCGU
rnacentral:rRNA from 1 species